rnacentral:rRNA from 1 species
AACGUAGGAGACAAACGUUAUCCGGAGUUACUGGGCGUAAAGGGCGUGUAGGUGGUUUCGUAAGUCUGGCGUGAAAUUUCUCGGCUUAACCGAGGCAGGUCGUCGGAUACUAUGAGACUAGAGGACGGUAGAGGCGUGUGGAAUUCCGGGUGUAGUGGUGAAAUGCGUAGAGAUCCGGAGGAACACCAGUGGUGAAAACAGACUGCUGGGGG